GAUGAACGCUAGCGGCAGGCUUAAUACAUGCAAGUCGAGGGGCAGCACAGGUAGCAAUACUGGGUGGCGACCGGCAAACGGGUGGGGAACACGUACACAACUUACCUUCUGGUGGGGGAUAGCCUUUGGAAACGGAGAUUAAUACCCCAUAUUAUAUAUGAGCUGCAUGGUUUGUAUAUUAAAGAUUUAUUGCCGGAAGAUGGGUGUGCGUAUGAUUAGGUAGUUGGCGGGGUAACGGCCCACCAAGGCGACGAUCAUUAACUGGUGUGAGAGCACGACCAGUCACACGGGCACUGAGACACGGGCCCGACUCCUACGGGAGGCAGCAGUAAGGAAUAUUGGUCAAUGGACGGAAGUCUGAACCAGCCAUGCCGCGUGGAGGAUGAAGGUCCUCUGGAUUGUAAACUUCUUUUAUAGGGGGCGAAAAAAGGGAAUUCUUUCUCGUCUGACGGUACCCUAUGAAUAAGCACCGGCUAACUCCGUGCCAGCAGCCGCGGUAAAAC
rnacentral:rRNA from 1 species